GUAGGGAGCGAGCGUUAUCCGGAAUUAUUGGGUGUAAAGCGUGUGUAGGCGGUUAAAUAAGUCUAAGGUUUAAGCCCGGAGCUCAACUCCGGAUCGCCUUAGAAACUGUAUAACUUGAGUAUGGUAGAGGUAAACGGAAUUUCUAGUGUAGCGGUAAAAUGCGUAGAUAUUAGAAGGAACACCAGUGGCGAAGGCGGUUUACUGGGCCACUACUGACGCUGAGACACGAAAGCGUGGGGAGCAAA
rnacentral:rRNA from 1 species